rnacentral:rRNA from 1 species
ACUGGCGGCGUGCCUAACACAUGCAAGUCGAACGAAAUCUUCGGAUUUAGUGGCGGACGGGUGAGUAACGCGUGAGAAUCUGCCUUUAGGUUCGGGACAACAGUUGGAAACGACUGCUAAUACCGAAUGUGUCGUAAGAUGAAAGAUUUAUCGCCUAGAGAUGAGCUCGCGUCUGAUUAGCUAGUUGGUGGGGUAAAAGCUUACCAAGGCGACGAUCAGUAGCUGGUCUGAGAGGAUGAUCAGCCACACUGGGACUGAGACACGGCCCAGACUCCUACGGGAGGCAGCAGUGGGGAAUUUUCCGCAAUGGGCGAAAGCCUGACGGAGCAACGCCGCGUGAGGGAGGAAGGCUUUUGGGUUGUAAACCUCUUUUCUCAAGGAAGAUAAUGACGGUACUUGAGGAAUCAGCAUCGGCUAACUCCGUGCCAGCAGCCGCGGUAAUACGGAGGAUGCAAGCGUUAUCCGGAAUAAUUGGGCGUAAAGCGUUCGUAGGUGGUUUUGUAAGUCUGCUGUUAAAGCGUGUAGCUCAACUACAUAUAGGCAGUGGAAACUACAAAACUUGAGUGCGUUCGGGGCAGAGGGAAUUCCUGGUGUAGCGGUGAAAUGCGUAGAGAUCAGGAAGAACACCGGUGGCGAAGGCGCUCUGCUAGGCCGCAACUGACACUGAGGGACGAAAGCUAGGGGAGCGAAUGGGAUUAGAUACCCCAGUAGUCCUAGCUGUAAACGAUGGAUACUAGGCGUUGUCUGUAUCGACCCGGACAGUGCCGUAGCUAACGCGUUAAGUAUCCCGCCUGGGGAGUACGCACGCAAGUGUGAAACUCAAAGGAAUUGACGGGGGCCCGCACAAGCGGUGGAGUAUGUGGUUUAAUUCGAUGCAACGCGAAGAACCUUACCAAGGCUUGACAUGUCCGGAACUUUUGUGAAAGCAGAAGGUGCCUUCGGGAGCCGAAACACAGGUGGUGCAUGGCUGUCGUCAGCUCGUGUCGUGAGAUGUUGGGUUAAGUCCCGCAACGAGCGCAACCCUCGUCUUUAGUUGCCAGCACUUAGGGUGGGCACUCUAGAGAGACUGCCGGUGACAAACCGGAGGAAGGUGGGGAUGACGUCAAGUCAUCAUGCCCCUUACGUCUUGGGCUACACACGUACUACAAUGCUAUGGACAAAGAGCAGCCAGCCAGCGAUGGUGCGCUAAUCUCAUAAACCAUGGCUCAGUUCAGAUUGCAGGCUGCAACUCGCCUGCAUGAAGUAGGAAUCGCUAGUAAUUGCAGGUCAGCAUACUGCAGUGAAUUCGUUCCCGGGCCUUGUACACACCGCCCGUCACACCAUGGAAGUUGGUCACGCCCGAAGUCGUUACCCUAACCGCUUGCGGAGGGGGACGCCGAAGGUAGGACUGAUGACUGGGGUGAAGUCGUAACAAGGUAGCCGUACCGGAAGGUGUGGCUGGAUCACCUCCUUUUCAGGGAGACCUUACCCACUCAUACACCGAGAUAUUAUAUAGGUGAUGAUUGUGGUCAUCCCAAGGUCGUGCGUAGGCAAGGAUAUAUUAUGGCUUUCAAACAAUUAUAGGUUCGGUAUUAUGUUCGUACCUAUGGGCUAUUAGCUCAGGUGGUUAGAGCGCACCCCUGAUAAGGGUGAGGUCCCUGGUUCGAGUCCAGGAUGGCCCACCUGAACAAUUUUAGAUUUUAAAUUUUAGAUUUUAGAUUAAUAAUUCUAGAUUAAUCCAGAAUCGUAAAUCCAAAAUCCAAAAUUAUUGUAGGGGGGUAUAGCUCAGUUGGUAGAGCGCCUGCUUUGCAAGCAGGAUGUCAGCGGUUCGAGUCCGCUUACCUCCACCAAAUUAACGAUUAAUAAUGUUGGGAUAAUUUCAGCACCUAGACUUAUAUAAAAAAGUCGGAAUGCUGGAUUGUUAUCCAGUCAGAACCUUGAAAACUGCAUAUUCACGCGAAAGAUAAUUGUUGUAGGUAGUACUUAAUUGGUAGUAAAUCUAUGAAUUAAGUGUGAAUCUAACAAAUCCUAUUUUGUAUUGAUUGUAUUGGAAUCAAUGUGGUCAAGCUACAAAGGGCUAAUGGUGGAUACCUAGGCACACAGAGAUCUUUCU